rnacentral:lncRNA from 8 species
ACAGGAGAGAGAGGAGGUACAGUAUCUACACAGACAGGAGAGAGAGAGAGAGAGGUGGUACAGUAUCUACACAGACAGGAGAGAGAGAGGUGGUACAGUAUCUACACAGACAGGAGAGAGAGGAGGUACAGUAUCUACACAGACAGGAGAGAGAGGAGGUACAGUAUCUACACAGACAGGAGAGAGAGAGAGGAGGUGGUACAGUAUCUACACAGACAAGAGAGAGAGAGAGGAGGUGGUACAGUAUCUACACAGACAAGAGAGAGAGAGGAGGUGGUACAGUAUCUACACAGACAGGAGAGAGAGAGAGAGG